rnacentral:tRNA from 1 species
ACGAAUGUGGAGAAGUUUGGCCGUUCUCGCUUGGACGCAAGAGGUCACAGGUUCAAAUCCUGUCAUUCGUA